ACAUUAUUUCUUGGUAAUUGUCAAAGGGAUGUUUUGCAUUUUUUUAGAUCUCAGCUACAUCUAAAGAAAGUGAAUUGAUAAGACCCUCUAAAAUUAGAAAGUUGUAGCAUUAUGCCGUAAUAGAUGUCUUAAUAAUUCAACUUGUCAUGCAGCAUGCAAUUAAAACUUUCCUUUGGGACUCAAGAGAGAAAUCCCAGUUUCUUCUAAAGAAGUUUAGCCAAUACAUAACGAGAAGAAUAAUUCAAGUAAAUGGGACUGAAUUUCAUAGAGAAAAGGAAAAUAAAAACAAAAAUCUUUUUAACAAGGAAAUUAAUUAUCACUGCACUUGAUGAUUUUAUAGGUUUUAUAAUCUCACUUAUUAGAUCUUUUUAUUAUUCCCAAUUAAAGCAGUAUUAUUAUUUUUCAUUUGGUAGAGAAAGGGGCAUUAAAUUUCUUUCAUGAAACCAUCAGCCAAAAUUAUCCUUCUUUUCUAGAAUAAGCAUAACUGAUACUACGUAUUACUUUGAUUUAAAAGGAAUAUAUGCUACCACUGACAUUAUAUUUCGCUAACAUAGUGGAAGAAUUUUGAGUGAGCUUAAUCAAAGAAGUUUAUUUUUAUAUAUUUAUAGCUAUAUCAAUAUCCAUAUUGACAUUUUCCUAUCCUUUGUAUCUGAUUAUCUUAUGUAUGCUUUCUCUAAUCCUGUAGUAAGACAAGUCAUUUUGUUUUAUAUCAGCUGGAGUGUAAAACAUUGGAUGAUAGCCAUGUAAAUGAUUUUUUUUUCUGUGCUUACUGUUAUGACUAAAUUGUCUAUAGAUCAUUUGCGCUAUUUCAUUGAUUCUAAGAUGCCCAAUUCUUCUUUUACAUUUAACAUCUCUGAAAUAAGGAGAGUAAGUGAUCUAUCGUAAUUAAAUCCUUAGUACUUUUUCUUUCUAGGGGGUUCAAAGCAUAAUGUACAAAUAUACCUUUCACAGUUAACAGUUGCAGAUUCAAUAAAAUACUCAGUAUUGGGGCCACCUCUCAGAGUGUAGCACAGUUUGGCAAAGACUGCCUAUUGUCCUGCAAUAAUCAUUUUGCCACAUUUUCAAAAUUUUAGCUGACAUAGAGCCAAAAAAAUCUAAGUUUUACCAGACCACCUUAAAGGUUACGGUCUUGGUUUGCUAAGGCUGUCUUAACAAAGAACUACAAACGGAGUGGCUUAAACAAACUUAUUGUCUCACAGUUCUAGAAGCUUGAGGUCUAGGAUUAAAGUGCCAGGAGGGCCACACUCCCACUGAAGAUGCCAGGAAAAACUCUGUUCCAGCCUCUCUCCCAGUGUCUGGUAGUUCCUUGGCUUAUGGCAGCUUAAUUCCAAUCCUCAUCUGGCGUUCAUGUUUGCCUCUUUGCAUGAUAAACAUUUUCAAUGGAGAUGAUGAAAUCAGUGCAGACAAGGCUGCUUUUAUUUAAAAAGGGGAAUGAAAAGCAUGCUUUUUAAACUAGUGGAUUGGCAAAUAAAGUCAAAGGUUUUGAAAGA